AUACAGCGUGGCAGUUGUUAAAGACUUGGCUGGAACAUACUCCGGAGUGCACUCAACAGUCCAUGAAAUGGGCCAUUUAUUUGGCUCUUACCACGAUGGCGAAGGAACCUCAGUGAAUUGCCCUGCCCGAGAGGGAUACAUAAUGAGUCCACAGUCACAGGGAGCACACAGGGAUAAAUUUUCACACUGCAGCAAAAGGGCAAUCAACAAAUAUAUAACGUCAGGUGGUGCUACAUGCCUACGAUACGCAGCAGCGACAAGUGCUUUGGGCAUUUUUCCACGUGCUAUUGUGACUUCACUUGAUGGACAUUUACCACAAGACCACAAAGUCAACAUUUCAACACGCGUGAACACACUGUAGACUAAGGGUCCUCUAGAAGAACCUAAAAACAGAUCUUUAGAAGAAAGUCAAAUCGUAUGACACCCGAAUAAGGACAGAAAACCCAACCAAAAAGGAAACUGCUGCUCAGUGACUUUUCGGGCACGGCAAAUUAUAUGCACGUUGAAAA